GAUGAACGCUGGCGGCGUGCCUAAUACAUGCAAGUCGAGCGGACGGACGAUGAUUUUGCUUCUCUGAUGUUUGCGGCGGACGGGUGUGUAACACGUGGAUAACCUACCUAUAAGUCUGGUAUCACUUCGGGAAACCGGCGCUAAUACCGUAUAAUAUUUUGAACCGCAUGGUUCACAAGUGCACGACGGUCUUGGUGUCACUUAUAGAUGGAUCCGCGCUGCAUUAGCUAGUUGGUACGGUAACGGCUUACCAAGGCAACGCUGGAUCGCCGACAUGACAGGGUGAUCGGCCACACUGGAACUGAGACACGGUCAAGACUACGGCGGGAGGCAGCAGAAGGGAAUCUUACGCAAUGGGCGAAAGCAUGACGGAGCAACCCCGCGUGAGUGAUGAAGGUCUUCCGAUCGUAAAACUCUGUUAGUAGGGAAGAACAUAUGUGUCAUUAACUGUGCACAUCUUGACGGUACCUAAUCAGAAAGCCCCGGCUAACUACGUG
rnacentral:rRNA from 1 species